AAUGAACGCUGGCGGCGUGUCUUAAGCAUGCAAGUCGUGCGGCAAGGUAGCAAUACCCCUAGAGCGGCGGACUGGUGAGUAACGCGUGGGUGAUCUGCCCUUGGGUUGGGGAUAGCCAUUAGAAAUAGUGGGUAAUACCGAAUACGAUGGCGAGUCUGUGGUCUUGUCAUGAAAGGCGCUUCGGCGCCACCCGAGGAUGAGCCCGCGUCCCAUUAGCUAGUUGGUGAGGUAACGGCCCACCAAGGCGAUGAUGGGUAGGCGGCCUGAGAGGGUGUGCGCCCACACUCGGAAUGAGAAACGGCCCAGACUACGACGGGAGGCAGCAGCUAAGAAUAUUCCGGAAUGGACGAAAGUCUGACGGAGCGACGCCGCGUGGAUGACGAAGGCCGAAAGGUUGUAAAAUCCUUUUGUUGGGGAAGAAUAAGGCUGGGAGGGAAUGCCCGGCUGAUGACAUGAACCGACGAAUAAGUACCGGCUAACUACGUGCCAGCAGCAGCCGCCG
rnacentral:rRNA from 1 species